rnacentral:rRNA from 1 species
GCAGCAGCCGCGGGAAUACGAAGGGGGCUAGCGUUGCUCGGAAUUACUGGGCGUAAAGGGCGCGUAGGCGGACAGUUUAGUCGGGGGUGAAAGCCCGGGGCUCAACCUCGGAAUUGCCUUCGAUACUGGCUGUCUUGAGUGUGAGAGAGGUGUGUGGAACUCCGAGUGUAGAGGUGAAAUCCGUAGAUAUUCGGAAGAACACCAGUGGCGAAGGCGACACACUGGCUCACUACUGACGCUGAGGCGCGAAAGCGUGGGGAGCAAACAGGAUUAGAGACCCGCGUAGUCCCUGUCUCUUAUAC